UUGAUGAUCAAAUGGUUAUGUAUACAAUAUUCUUUUUGUGAUGGACAUGCAUUCCAUAUUUCAUUUACUAGGUUUGGAGGGAAGUUGUACAUAUCAAACUAAAGGAGCAAUCUUUUGGCAAAAAUAUUUAUCUUGAUGGAGAGAGGGAGAGAGAUAACUUGGUACCUUUGAGUGGACCUCCGUUCAAAUUCUCGCAAAUUUAGAUCAGAUGAUGGACGUCCCACAUCAAUAAUCUGAGCCAUUAGAUGUGAUCUACUACUUCUAAACUACUUAUACAUCAAAAAUCAUGCAAUUUGGAGAUUCCUAAUCUUUGUAUCAAGUGGAC
rnacentral:lncRNA from 1 species